ACGGGUGCGUAAUACGUAGGAAUCUGCCCUAGAGUGGGGGAUAACCUGCCGAAAGGCGGGCUAAUACCGCAUGAUCUCUAUGGAGCAAAGGUGGCUAGCAAUAGCCUUCGCUUUAGGAUGAGCCUACGUCGGAUUAGCUAGUUGGUAGGGUAAUGGCCUACCAAGGCAACAAUCCGUAGCUGGUCUGAGAGGACGAUCAGCCACACUGGAACUGAGACACGGUCCAGACUCCUACGGGAGGCAGCAGUGGGGAAUAUUGGACAAUGGGGGAAACCCUGAUCCAGCAAUGCCGCGUGUGCGAUGAAGGCCUGCGGGUUGUAAAGCACUUUCGGUGGGGAAGAAAUGCUCAAAGAUAAUACCUUUGAGAGCCGACGUUACCCACAGAAGAAGCACCGGCAAACUCUGUGCCAGCAGCCGCGGUAAUACAGAGGGUGCAAGCGUUAAUCGGAGUUACUGGGCGUAAAGGGCGCGUAGGCUGAUAUUUAAGUCGAUUGUGAAAUACCUGGGCUUAACCUGGGAAUUGCAGUUGAUACUGGAUAUCUUGAGUAUGGUAGAGGAAAGUGGAAUUCUCGGU
rnacentral:rRNA from 1 species